rnacentral:rRNA from 1 species
GCAGUCGAGCGGUAGAGAGAAGCUUGCUUCUCUUGAGAGCGGCGGACGGGUGAGUAAUGCCUAGGAAUCUGCCUGGUAGUGGGGGAUAACGUCCGGAAACGGACGCUAAUACCGCAUACGUCCUACGGGAGAAAGCAGGGGACCUUCGGGCCUUGCGCUAUCAGAUGAGCCUAGGUCGGAUUAGCUAGUUGGUGGGGUAAUGGCUCACCAAGGCGACGAUCCGUAACUGGUCUGAGAGGAUGAUCAGUCACACUGGAACUGAGACACGGUCCAGACUCCUACGGGAGGCAGCAGUGGGGAAUAUUGGACAAUGGGCGAAAGCCUGAUCCAGCCAUGCCGCGUGUGUGAAGAAGGUCUUCGGAUUGUAAAGCACUUUAAGUUGGGAGGAAGGGCAGUAAAUUAAUACUUUGCUGUUUUGACGUUACCGACAGAAUAAGCACCGGCUAACUCUGUGCCAGCAGCCGCGGUAAUACAGAGGGUGCAAGCGUUAAUCGGAAUUACUGGGCGUAAAGCGCGCGUAGGUGGUUCGUUAAGUUGGAUGUGAAAUCCCCGGGCUCAACCUGGGAACUGCAUUCAAAACUGACGAGCUAGAGUAUGGUAGAGGGUGGUGGAAUUUCCUGUGUAGCGGUGAAAUGCGUAGAUAUAGGAAGGAACACCAGUGGCGAAGGCGACCACCUGGACUGAUACUGACACUGAGGUGCGAAAGCGUGGGGAGCAAACAGGAUUAGAUACCCUGGUAGUCCACGCCGUAAACGAUGUCAACUAGCCGUUGGGAGCCUUGAGCUCUUAGUGGCGCAGCUAACGCAUUAAGUUGACCGCCUGGGGAGUACGGCCGCAAGGUUAAAACUCAAAUGAAUUGACGGGGGCCCGCACAAGCGGUGG